AAACCAACUGAGCAAAACCCUAACCAUCAAAACCCCACUGUAUAUAUCAAGCCAUUUGGCCAAACCAGCCGCCACAACCGUCAAAGGAGUGUUCAAAUAUCCGCUGGGACGGUCCUUGAGGGCUGCGAAGAAUAACGGGCCCACCGAGUGAACCAGGUUGCUUUGUAGAGCCUGAAUUGCCGCCAAUUCAUUGAGAUUAGGCAAAAUCGAAAUUCCUCCAACUGACACCGCCAAUUUCUGAAUUGAAUUUAUAAAUAGCCGCGACACGGAGAACGCUAGGAUCACGAUGGUUGUCAAAGUCCGUGUUGACCCAGUGAUUAGGUCUUGUGAAUCAGUAGGAGGGGAAAGAGGGGGGAUUUGUGAGUGCUGCGAGGGUACCGAAGCCGAAACCCUAAACCUUGGUUGUUUGGCGAUGAAUAUGGAGGCUAGAGGUG
rnacentral:misc_RNA from 1 species